GCACUACUGAAGAGUUCCACAAUAGGAUGAAACGGCCGUUCAGUGC
rfam:Schistosoma rodhaini strain Burundi genome assembly, scaffold: SROB_scaffold0011775